UACAGAGGGUGCGAGCGUUAAUCGGAAUUACUGGGCGUAAAGCGCGCGUAGGCGGCUUUGCAAGUCGGGUGUGAAAUCCCCAGGCUUAACCUGGGAACUGCAUUCGAGACUGCAUUGCUAGAGUAUGGGAGAGGGAAGUGGAAUUUCCGGUGUAGCGGUGAAAUGCGUAGAGAUGUGGAGGAACACCAGUGGCGAAGGCGACUCUUUGGCCUGUAACUGACACUGAGGCGCGAAAGCGUGGGGAGCAAACAGG
rnacentral:rRNA from 1 species